rnacentral:rRNA from 1 species
GAUGAACGCUGGCGGCGUGCUUAACACAUGCAAGUCGAACGAAGCAAUUUAACGGAAGUUUUCGGAUGGAAGUUAAAUUGACUGAGUGGCGGACGGGUGAGUAACGCGUGGGUAACCUGCCUCAUACAGGGGGAUAACAGUUAGAAAUGACUGCUAAUACCGCAUAAGCGCACAGUAUCGCAUGAUACAGUGUGAAAAACUCCGGUGGUAUGAGAUGGACCCGCGUCUGAUUAGCUAGUUGGUGGGGUAACGGCCUACCAAGGCGACGAUCAGUAGCCGACCUGAGAGGGUGACCGGCACAUUGGGACUGAGACA